rnacentral:rRNA from 1 species
GUAAGGAAUAUUGGACAAUGGGGGAAACCCUGAUCCAGCCAUGCCGCGUGAGUGAAGAAGGCCUUCGGGUUGUAAAGCUCUUUCAGAUGUGAAGAUGAUGACGGUAACAUCAGAAGAAGCUCCGGCUAACUUCGUGCCAGCAGCCGCGGUAAUACGAAGGGAGCGAGCGUUGUUCGGAAUCACUGGGCGUAAAGAGUGCGUAGGGGGUUAUACAAGUCAGGAGUGAAAUCCCAGGGCUCAACCCUGGAAUUGCUUUUGAAACUGUAUAGCUAGAGUCCCGGAGGGGUUAAUGGAAUUCCGAGUGUAGAGGUGAAAUUCGCAGAUAUUCGGAGGAACACCAGUGGCGAAGGCGAUUAACUGGACGGGCACUGACGCUGAGGCACGAAAGCGUGGGGAUCAAACAGGAUUAGAUACCCGUGUAGUCC